AGAGUUUGAUCAUGGCUCAGGAUGAACGCUGGCGGCGUGCUUAACACAUGCAAGUCGUACGGAAAGCCAUUUUCGGAUGGACUCGAGUGGCGAACGGGUGAGUAUCACGUGAGUGACCUGCCUUCAGCUUUGUGAUAACCUAGGGAAACUCGGGCUAAUACCGGAUGUGUACGCCUUGCACAAGCAAGGUGUGGAAAGGAAGCUUCGGCCUCCGCUUCGGGAUGGGCCCGCGGCCCAUUAGCUUGUUGGUGAGGUAACGGCUCACCAAGGCCGCGAUGGGUAGCUGGUCUGAGAGGACGAUCAGCCACACUGGGACUGAGACACGGCCCAGACUCCUACGGGAGGCAGCAGUGGGGAAUCUUUGCGCAAUGCGCGAAAGCGUGACGCAGCAACGCCGCGUGGGUGAAGAAGGCCUUCGGGUUGUAAAGCCCUUUCAGGAGGGACGAAGCCUGGGCCGUUAAUAGCGGUUCCAGGUGACGGUACCUCCAGAAGAAGCCCCGGCUAACUACGUGCCAGCAGCCGCGGUAAUACGUAGGGGGCAAGCGUUGUCCGGAAUCAUUGGGCGUAAAGAGCGUGUAGGCGGUCCGGUAAGUCCGUUGUGAAAGUCAAGGGCUCAACCCUUGAAUGCCGGCGGAUACUGUCGGGCUAGAGUCCGGAAGAGGUGAGUGGAAUUCCCGGUGUAGCGGUGAAAUGCGCAGAUAUCGGGAGGAACACCAAUGGCGAAGGCAGCUCACUGGGACGGUACUGACGCUGAGACCGCGAAAGCGUGGGGAGCAAACAGGAUUAGAUACCCCUGUAGUCC
rnacentral:rRNA from 1 species